rnacentral:rRNA from 1 species
GUCUAUUUGAAGAUAUAAAAAGUCUGACCUGCCCACUGAUAAAUAAUUUUUAAUGGCCGCAGUAUUUUGACUGUGCAAAGGUAGCAUAAUCGUUAGUUUUUUAAUUGAAAUCUUGUAUGAAUGGUUUGACAAAAAAAAAUCUGUCUUUAUGAUUAUUUAUUGAAUUUAACUUUUAAGUGAAAAGGCUUAAAUAAAUUAAAAAGACGAUAAGACCCUAUAAAACUUAAUAUUAAUUUUUUAUUUUAAUAAAAUUUUUAGUAAUAUAAAUAUUUAGUAAUUAGUUUUAUUUUAUUGGGGUGAUAAUGGUAAAAUGAUUAUUAACUGUUAAUUGUAUUUAUAACAAAUAUAAGUGAAUAAAAUAAGUAUAUUGAUUUAUAAAUGGUCCUAUAUAAAGAUUAAAAGUUUAAGUUACUUUAGGGAUAACAGCGUCAUUUUUUUUGAGAGUUCUUAUCGAAAAAAAAGUUUGCGACCUCGAUGUUGAAUUAAAAUAUCUGUAUAAUUGUAGCAGUUAUAUAAGAAAGGUCUGUUCGACC